CGGAACUGUUUUGAAAGAUUUCUUCGGAAUGAAUUUGAUUUAGUUUAGUGGCGGACGGGUGAGUAACGCGUGAGUAACCUGCCUUCAAGAGGGGGAUAACAUUCUGAAAAGAAUGCUAAUACCGCAUGACAUAUCGGAACCACAUGGUUCUGAUAUCAAAGAUUUUAUCGCUUGAAGAUGGACUCGCGUCCGAUUAGUUAGUUGGUGAGGUAACGGCUCACCAAGACCGCGAUCGGUAGCCGGACUGAGAGGUUGAACGGCCACAUUGGGACUGAGACACGGCCCAGACUCCUACGGGAGGCAGCAGUGGGGGAUAUUGCGCAAUGGGGCAACCCUGACGCAGCAACGCCGCGUGAAGGAUGAAGGUUUUCGGAUUGUAAACUUCUUUUAUUAAGGACGAAAAAUGACGGUACUUAAUGAAUAAGCUCCGGCUAACUACGUGCCAGCAGCCGCGGUAAUACGUAGGGAGCAAGCGUUGUCCGGAUUUACUGGGUGUAAAGGGUGCGUAGGCGGCUUUGCAAGUCAGAUGUGAAAUCUAUGGGCUCAACCCAUAAACUGCAUUUGAAACUGUAGAGCUUGAGUGAAGUAGAGGCAGGCGGAAUUCCCCGUGUAGCGGUGAAAUGCGUAGAGAUGGGGAGGAACACCAGUGGCGAAGGCGGCCUGCUGGGCUUUAACUGACGCUGAGGCACGAAAGCGUGGGUAGCAAACAGGAUUAGAUACCCUGGUAGUCCACGCUGUAAACGAUGAUUACUAGGUGUGGGGGGUCUGACCCCUUCCGU
rnacentral:rRNA from 1 species